CACCGUUGAGUUCUUUUAACGUGGCCCAUGCCCUCAAUUAUGGAUAAAUUCGUAACUUCCUUUUUAUUAUUUUAUUUUAUUUUAUUUCCCACACCCAUAAUUGGUCCCACUGCCACCAUAGUCUCGUGAACGUCACGUGACCUCCCCAUUUUUAAUCAAUAUUGUCACGCUUGCAAGGGGGUACUUCUUUACUCUAUGCUUUCACACCAUAUAACAUAAUAUAAUUAAACAACACCUCGCAACUUUCAUUCACAAAUCCACUAAACAAUUAUAAAUUAAAAUAUCGAUUACAUCAUAAAUUCUAUUGAAAAUUAAAAUAAUUUUUAUUGGCGUAAAAAUAUAUGUGAUGUUAAUAAUUUAGGGUCGUAAUGGAAGCUUAGAAGGCAAGGCAACAAUAUUGCAAUUAAGCACGUGACAGUUUGCUUGAGUUACACGUUUUCUGAAUUUGCUUAUAUCUUUUCUUUCAUUCCUUCAGUAGAGUAGUCUCACGUCACCCGUCUUCUACCAUCUUCUUCUCUUACGGGGAAUCAACACCCUCCAUCUUGUUAGCCUCAGACGGUCCAUCACUCCGUACGUACGAUAACGCCCCAGUGCUCUCUAUCACCCAAUCCCAACCCCAACCAACCAUAGCCUGCCACUUGGACAAGAAAGAGCGGAGGUGGAAGCUUGCGUUGAUCACGUGAUUGAGAGGGGAAAACAAAACAUGUUUCUUGUGUUGAACCCCAGCCACGUGUCAUAUUGUCCGGACACAUAACGGCCGUGUUUCUUUCGUUAUUUCGCAAUUAAUUUCAAGAAACCGGAAUGCGCGCGGUAACGUAACGGACCCACUCUUCUCCACACGUCGGAUGCAAAACGGGGCGUUUCGGGGAUGUACUUCUUCCGUCGAGCCAAUCAAAACCUGGCACGUCGAAAAUGAAAGCUGUGUGUAAGAUUACGAAUUUACCCUCGGAAAGGAUUCAUAUUUUCAAUUCAAGUUGUAAUUAUAUAUUUAUUUUUAUCCAUAUGUCCUUUUUAAUAUUUAAA